ensembl:lincRNA
CCUAAGGGCUCUCAGGAAGGGAAAUAAUACCUCUGUGAUCUGGCAGCCAUUAGGCUGAAGCCACUCCCUCCUUGGAGUCCUGAGGCACGCAGGAUGUGAAAAAAGCCCCAGAUAGCUGAGAUGCACAUGGAAGGAAUGAUUUCAAUACAUUUUAAAGAGCUCUCCAAAGAGCAGGAUUUUGAGAAGGAAACAUGGAGGAGAAGGAGAACCACGUGGAAGGAAUGAAAUACAUGGAAAGGGAGAAGCUUCAAAAGAUUAAAAAGAAGCAUGCUAGUCUUGGAAUCAGGAUCUCUAUCCAAUUUCUUUCUCCUGGGGAGAGCAAGGCAAGAAAUCUACUGGACCCUUGGUUUUCCCUUGGACAGAGUGGAUAUUGGGCUGUAUGAUCUCUACUGUCUCGUGCAGAUUCACAGCUCAUUAUCAAGUUCCCAUUACCUGGCUCCGCUUUUGGACUUCUUAACUUUUUAGUUCCUUAGGCCCAUUGUUCUUUGCCAGAUUGAGGGUAAUGAAGUGAGGCUAUAGUGAUUGUAGAUUUCUCCUCCCUCAGAAAGCUUGGGGUGAUGAAGUAAAUCAUUAAGAAUUUUAUUUGUGUGCUCUGAUCCCAUUGAACAGUACUGCCUUUUAAGCAGGUAUGGUCUCUAUCCCUUAGGAAUAGACCAGAGACCCUAGACUUUGAGUAGAACCUUUAUAUAAAAUUUUCUAAGUUCUCUUUCAAAGCCUCUGAACAGGGCUGCCAAUGAGCAUUUUCUAGAUAAGAUGCCCAGAAAUGUUUGUAAGUCCUGGUCCCUAUUUUUCCUCUUUGGGACACUCUCAGUCCUCCUUUAAGAUUAUAUAGACUAUAGAUCAGAUGCUCAGAAAUGUUCUGGGAUUUGAUCCUCCAGCAUUAUCCCAAGGGUCCUCUGGUCUGGAAUGGGUUCCUAAGAACUAAAUAAAUAGUUAUCGGUG